CUUGUGUGUGCCUCCCCAAGUCCCUCUUUUCUGUUUUUUUACUCCUCAUUGUUUUAAUUACUGACUCUGAGACCUCCUGUAUUUCUCUUAAAUCUUCUGCAGUGGUCACUGUAAAAUGGUGCCCAGGGUAUAAGCAUACAAUAUCCCCAGGGUAUGAGCAUAAAAUGUUUUCUCUGCAGUCUUUGCUAGCCUGUUCCUAAAAUAGAGAGGAAUUAGAUCUUGAUUUUUAACAAGGGUGGGUCAUGUUUGGGAUCUAUGUCCAGCCUGGAGAAAUCCCUUUGGAGAAAACAGACCUUUCAUAAACAGCAAAGGGAGAAGGAGAACUAUGAGAAAUACCUGUGAUAGUGUUGCAGCUAUGAUUGGAAUUUUAAAGAGGAAGUUUGAGGAAGUUGAUGGUUCCUCACACUGCUUUUCUGAUGAAGUUUCUAACAGUAAAACUGCUGACAGUGCUAAUCCACUUCUAAUCAUUUUACCUACUGGACAAUGUUGAGGGUGGCUAAAUAAACAGCAAGUUGGUAGCCCCGAGUGAAAGUUUCUAAACCAAGAGCUUCCAUGAGCUUCUGAGUUGAACAGUCUGCCUGAAAGCAAAGGGCCCAUCAAC